UGGGGAAUUUUGGACAAUGGGCGAAAGCCUGAUCCAGCAAUGCCGCGUGUGUGAAGAAGGCCUUCGGGUUGUAAAGCACUUUUGUCCGGAAAGAAAUCCUUGGCUCUAAUACAGUCGGGGGAUGACGGUACCGGAAGAAUAAGCACCGGCUAACUACGUGCCAGCAGCCGCGGUAAUACGUAGGGUGCAAGCGUUAAUCGGAAUUACUGGGCGUAAAGCGUGCGCAGGCGGUUUGCUAAGACCGAUGUGAAAUCCCCGGGCUCAACCUGGGAACUGCAUUGGUGACUGGCAGGCUAGAGUAUGGCAGAGGGGGGUAGAAUUCCACGUGUAGCAGUGAAAUGCGUAGAGAUGGUGGAGGAAUACCGAUGGCGAAGGCAGCCCCCUGGGCCAAUACUGACGCUCAUGCACGAAAGCGUGGGGGAGCAAAACAGGAUUAGAUACCCUGGUAGUCCACGCCCUAAACGAUGUCAACUAGUUGUUGGGGAUUCAUUUCCUUAGUAACGUAGCUAACGCGUGAAGUUGACCGCCUGGGGAGUACGGUCGCAAGAUUAAAACUCAAAUGAAUUGACGGGGUCAUAGCUGUUUCCU
rnacentral:rRNA from 1 species